rnacentral:rRNA from 2 species
GACGAACCGUGCGAACGUUGUUCGGAAUCACUGGGCUUAAAGGGCGCGUAGGCGGGCUGUUUAGUCGGGGGUGAAAUCGUUCGGCCCAACCGGACAAGGGCCUCCGAUACUGGCAGUCUCGAGGGAGGUAGGGGUUGGUGGAACUUCCGGUGGAGCGGUGAAAUGCGUAGAUAUCGGAAGGAACGCCGGUGGCGAAAGCGGCCAACUGGACCUCUUCUGACGCUGAUGCGCGAAAGCUAGGGGAGCGAACGGG